UUCACAGUCUUUCAUAUUCUUUCAUAAAAGUAGUGCAAAAUAUUUAGAUUUUUCUAAAUCUUCUAAUCGAAUUAAUUGUUUUCUCCCCGUAAAUGUGUAAUUAUAUUAAAUAUUAUCCGGUUUUCGACGAGAAUUUCUUUUCGAUAAUUACCGUCUUUAAUUUCAACCGUUACAGCGAUUACACAGCAAAGAUGGAGGAGACGCGCUUGGUCGCAUUGCAGUGCAAAGGAGGGAAAAGCGGAAAAAUAUAUCAAAAUAAGAAAUGUAGAAUAUUGUAUAGAAAAUGAAAAUCGUGGAGAAAUUAGAUUUUGUGGAGCUAUUCUUCGAGAAAUGGAAAAAUAUAUGAAGAAAUAAAAAGAAAUUACUAUUCGAUUAUACUAUAAUCAUGGAGAAAUUCUUCGAAAAUUGAUGGCAAUUCAUAUGACAAUUUACAUUUGGAAAUUUUUCUUCUUACAACGAGUGCAGUCUAAACCAAAGUUUUAGAAUGGAAUCAAUUUGGAGAAUUGCAGUGAUGAUUUGGUAUGUCAAUAUUCAUUGGAAAAUUUUACUCUUUUUGAUUCAAAAGUGGAAUGGUGAAAUCCUAAAAAGCUGCCUAAAGUUAAAUAGAGGGGGAUCAAAAUCUUAUUAUAUAUACGCCAAUUGCGCGGAUGUCCAGUAGGAUGACACACAUUUGAAAUCCAACAUUUAGGACGAAUCGACAAGAACCAAAGUGAAGGAUCAAGAAGCCGAACAAUGGACAUUGGAUGUUCCAAGGAUCAACAAAACUUGAAAAGAUGCGUAGGCGAGACAAGAGUUUUAAACGUUUCGGUUUAUAUGUGGUCAAACGUGUCUUGAAAAAUUAGCUUUUUAUCAACGAUUCAAUCUCUCCUAAUAACGGACACGCCGCAGUUCCACUUCUCUAUACUCUCCAUGUGCAAAAAAAAAAA